GGAGGUUGGCGCGACUUCGAGGGAGGCCGUGGCGGCUGCGACGCGAGGAAGAAGGUCCGCCUCUGGUGACUUUAGCAAGCGACGACCAGCGUUGUUCAAGAAGGAGAGGGUAUUUCCCUCUUGCGGGCGCAGACGCAACGUGGGGAGAAGAAAGAGCCUCAUGUGAGGAGGAGAAGGACAGCUGCGCAGGCGACGUUGCCGGCAACACCCUUGGCCGACACGACGGAGGUGGGGUGGCGCUAGUCAAAGUAGUUGUGCGGAGAAGAGAGAGAGAGGAGAAAGCCUUUGCGGUGGCCGGCGAGGGGGUGUGGAAGCAGUGGAGACGGAGGUCUCUCUAGGUCUCUCGUUCAGAGAAGAGAUCUGAGUAUUUUGGUUGUUGAAUGCACAAAUGGGAGUAAGCUACUGGAACCCUUAAUUUCUGUUAGGGUUAAGAGGGGCUUUGGGCCUGGCAUGGGCCGCAUUCUUUCUGGUCGCCACCACUUACGUUCCUAUUCACACUCCCAUGCACACCUGGACAUUGGACUGCGAUUUCUCUGCCCGCCACCACACCGCUCUGUUUGCACCCCCACUUUGUUUCUGCAAGGAAAGAGGCCUUGGGCUGG
rnacentral:lncRNA from 1 species